UACGUAGGUGGCGAGCGUUAUCCGGAAUUACUGGGUGUAAAGGGUGUGUAGGCGGGGUGUCAAGUCAGAUGUGAAAACUGUGGGCUUAACCCACAAACUGCAUUUGAAACUGAUACUCUUGAGAGUGGGAGAGGUAAACGGAAUUCCUGGUGUAGUAGUGAAAUGCGUAGAUAUCAGGAGGAACACCGGUGGCGAAGGCGGUUUACUGGACCACAACUGACGCUGAGACACGAAAGCGUGGGGAGCAAACAGG
rnacentral:rRNA from 1 species